rnacentral:rRNA from 1 species
AGUAAAAUAUCUCGAUAGGGAGGUGUCGCGGGUUCCGGCCGUGAAAGCCCCAUCUUUUACACAAGGUUGACCUCGGAUCAGGUAGGAAUACCCGCUGAACUUAAGCAUAUCAAUAAGCGGAGGAAAAGAAACCAACAGGGAUUGCCCCAGUAACGGCGAGUGAAGCGGCAACAGCUCAAAUUUGAAAUCUGGCUUCGGCCCGAGUUGUAAUUUGUAGAGGAUGCUUUUGGUGAGGUGCCUUCUGAGUUCCCUGGAACGGGACGCCAGAGAGGGUGAGAGCCCCGUAUAGUUGGACACCGAGCCUCUGUAAAGCUCCUUCGACGAGUCGAGUAGUUUGGGAAUGCUGCUCAAAAUGGGAGGUAUAUCUCUUCUAAAGCUAAAUACUGGCCAGAGACCGAUAGCGCACAAGUAGAGUGAUCGAAAGAUGAAAAGCACUUUGAAAAGAGGGUUAAAUAGUACGUGAAAUUGUUGAAAGGGAAGCGCUUGUGACCAGACUUGUGCCGGGCUGAUCAUCCAGUGUUCUCACUGGUGCACUCUGCCCGGCUCAGGCCAGCGUCGGUUCUCGCAGGGGGACAAAAGCUUCGGGAACGUAGCUCUCUUCGGGGAGUGUUAUAGCCCGCUGCUCAAUACCCUUGUGGGGACCGAGGU